rfam:Triticum urartu cultivar G1812 contig116874, whole genome shotgun sequence.
UUAUUACUCCCUCCGUCCUGAAAUUCUUUUCUUAGAUUUUUCUAAAUACGGAUGUAUCAAGUCAUGUUUUAGUAUUAGGUACAUCCGUAUCUAGACAAAUCUAAGACAAGAAUUUUGAGACGGAGGGAGUAGUUA